CCAGAUGACUGUUUAAUUUCUUGGAGCACCUUUGAGGAAGAUGCUGGGUUAGUACUUGGAUGGGAGAUUGCCUGGGAAUCCUGGGUGUUAUAGGCU
rnacentral:rRNA from 14 species